GAAUAAUGCCAGGAAAGAGAUGCUCAAUACACCGUAGGUAUAUGGCGGCCUUUCCCAAAAACUGCAUUAAAACUAAAGGCAACUUCACACCUUGGAAAUGGAGUCAGUUUGUAACAUCCACGUAAUGUACAAAUUCAACAUGAAGCACACCAAGCACUAAGUUAACAACUUUUCUCAGACGACUGUUGGACUCGGCGGAAGAGGAAAGCGGCGCUGCCACUACACAAGGGAGAGAUGCCCAGCUCCUGGCCGCCGCCGCGGCGAGGGCCACGCGAGCUCACCGCCGGCGCCCACGGCCCCUCGGCCGGCAGGUGACGGCCCGCCUGAGAGGAAACCCGCUCUGCGCGCGCCCGCUACCCGGCAUGCCCCGCGGCCGCCCGCUCGGCGGGUGACGCGUGUUUGUAAACACGGAGGCGCCGCCCCCAGCGCCCUGUGAGGGAAAAGGCGCGAGGCGGAGCGGUAGGGCGGCGGCGCCGCGCCUCCUCCUUCCCGCGCGUCUGGUAACGGCUGCCGCUGGAGCGCAUUUGUCUGUCUGUCUAUCUAUCUAAGAGGGGGGCUUUAAAAGCCGUGUCUGGUGCGGCACCGUCACCGAAACGCUGCUGGGAACCGAGCCGACGGCCGAAACUACAGCGAGGUUAAACAAAGGGCAGUUGAGUAACCAAAAACGCAGCGCACAGCCCUUGUUUUGCUUCACGUAGCAACGGACGGUGGAAGUUUAGACAAAUGCACGUUUAAAAUUGAAAACUGAUGUUUUUUCCCUCCACCCUCAGGAUAUCAACUGUAUUCAUAAGGCAGCUCUAAAUCCCAAUACCACAAAAGGAUUUUUUAAAAGGCCACAGGAACAACACUGAAUUUUAUCUGGAAUUGCUAAACCUGAAUACUCUGCAUUUCAACCAUGACAAACAUACAAUUUUUGCCAAAAGAAUUGGUAAUUAAGGGCUCUUCUACUUCAUGGUUAAGAUUUUAACACUUCAGGGAAAAUUGCAACAAUAAUUCAAAAGCUUUUUUUUAACCCAUUCCUAAACAAUGUUACUAAUCCUACCAGCCUUCAAAAUAAUCAGAGAAACAACCUUAUCAGCUGCAACAUUUACUGUAUUUAAUGUUGAUCACUACAACUACUGCUGUUACAACAAUACAGCAUAAUUCUACUGUGAUUUUUCUGAAAUAUAAUAUGCCAUCUUUCACCACUGGAUGUUCUUCCUUUCUCUUUGCUUGCUCUGGUGUAAAUAAACAGUUAAAAGUACCUGCUUAAACAAA